AUUGAACGCUGGCGGCAUGCUUUACACAUGCAAGUCGAACGGUAACAGGCCGCUAGGUGCUGACGAGUGGCGAACGGGUGCGUAAUGCAUCGGAACGUGCCCAGCCGUGGGGGAUAACUACUCGAAAGAGUAGCUAAUACCGCAUACGAUCUAUGGAUGAAAGCGGGGGACCGUAAGGCCUCGCGCGAUUGGAGCGGCCGAUGUCAGAUUAGGUAGUUGGUGGGGUAAAGGCUCACCAAGCCAACGAUCUGUAGCUGGUCUGAGAGGACGAGCAGCCACACUGGGACUGAGACACGGCCCAGACUCCUACGGGAGGCAGCAGUGGGGAAUUUUGGACAAUGGGCGCAAGCCUGAUCCAGCAAUGCCGCGUGCAGGAAGAAGGCCUUCGGGUUGUAAAGUGCUUUUGUACGGAACGAAACGGCGCUGGUUAAUACCCGGGGCUAAUGACGGUACCGGAAGAAUAAGCACCGGCUAACUACGUG
rnacentral:rRNA from 1 species